rnacentral:other from 1 species
UAUACCCUGCUAUGUACGUGAUGCAGCACAUUCGGUUUUGAGCCAACACUUCCAAAAUGGAGCCCAGAAUUUUAGGGCGUACGCGAUAGGCUUCGGCCAAGGCGAAAACUCUGAAGCGGGCACCUACCUGCGUUUGCAGGUUCAAAACUUCGCAGCACACGGCAUGGUGGGGUUUUU